AGAGUUUGAUCCUGGCUCAGAUUGAACGCUGGCGGCAGGCCUAACACAUGCAAGUCGAGCGGAUGACGGGAGCUUGCUCCUUGAUUCAGCGGCGGACGGGUGAGUAAUGCCUAGGAAUCUGCCUGGUAGUGGGGGACAACGUUUCGAAAGGAACGCUAAUACCGCAUACGUCCUACGGGAGAAAGCAGGGGACCUUCGGGCCUUGCGCUAUCAGAUGAGCCUAGGUCGGAUUAGCUAGUUGGUGAGGUAAUGGCUCACCAAGGCGACGAUCCGUAACUGGUCUGAGAGGAUGAUCAGUCACACUGGAACUGAGACACGGUCCAGACUCCUACGGGAGGCAGCAGUGGGGAAUAUUGGACAAUGGGCGAAAGCCUGAUCCAGCCAUGCCGCGUGUGUGAAGAAGGUCUUCGGAUUGUAAAGCACUUUAAGUUGGGAGGAAGGGCAGUAAGCUAAUACCUUGCUGUUUUGACGUUACCGACAGAAUAAGCACCGGCUAACUCUGUGCCAGCAGCCGCGGUAAUAC
rnacentral:rRNA from 2 species